rnacentral:rRNA from 1 species
AGCCACAGCCAUAUUACCCUGCAGCCCAAGACCGGUUAUCCACUGAAGCUAAGCAGGGCUGAGCCUGGUCAGUACCUGGAUGGGAGACCACAUGGGAAAACUAGGUUGCUGUUGGAA